UCCCAGCAGCUCAAGUGGUGGCCACAUUUAUUAGGUCUAAAACAUUCGUAGCUUGCCAACUAAGUUUCUUGUGAAAUUUUAUGGCUCAACCAUAAAGCGUGCAAGAAAUACUGGCUGGCUUGAGACCGGGAGACGUAACGAGUACAUUUGAUGUAACGGUAAAAUGUUUUAAUCUCAGAUGGACUAACAAUGGCGAAGGCAUGUUACGAGAACAGUUCUGACGGUGAUGAAUGAAGGCCAGGGGCGCAAAAUGGAUUAGAUACCCAUGUAGUCCUGGCUGUAAACACUGAUUACUAAACAUCGCGAUCUCCUCGAGAGGUUGCGGUGCUGUAGCGAAGGCGCAGAGUAAUCUACCUGGGGAUUAUAGUCGCAAGACCGAAACUUAAAGGAAUUGGCGGGGGGGCGCUACCAGGGGUGACGCGUGCGGUUUAAUUAGAUUCCACACCGUGAACCUUACCAGGAGCGAUAGCAGAAUGAAGGUCAGUCUAAAGGGCUUACCUGACACGCUAAGAGGAAUUGCAUGGCCGUCGUCAGCUUGUGUCGUAAGAUGCCCUGUUAAAUCAGGUAACAAGCGAGACUUGCAUGUGUAGUUGCUACGUUAAGAGCACACUACACAGACUGCUCCAGCAAUGGAGAGGAAGGUGCAGUCAACGAUAGGUGAGUACGGUCCAAAUCCCCUGGGCUACACGCGCGCGGCAAUGCUGCAUGCAAUGAGAUGCAAUACCGAAAGGUAAAGCUAAUCUCCUAAUAUGCAGCUUAGUUCAGAUUGAAGCUUGUAACUUAGCUUCAUGACACUGGAAUCCCUAGUAAUCGGACAUUAUCAGUGUCCGGUGAAUAAGUCAACGCUCCU
rnacentral:rRNA from 1 species